UACGAAGGGGGCUAGCGUUGUUCGGAUUGACUGGGCGUAAAGGGCGCGUAGGCGGUUAGUACAGUCAGGCGUGAAAUUCCUGGGCUCAACCUGGGGGCUGCGUUUGAUACGUAUUGUCUGGAGUUCGGAAGAGGGUCGUGGAAUUCCCAGUGUAGAGGUGAAAUUCGUAGAUAUUGGGAAGAACACCGGUGGCGAAGGCGGCGACCUGGUCCGAUACUGACGCUGAGGCGCGAAAGCGUGGGGAGCAAACAGG
rnacentral:rRNA from 1 species